rnacentral:rRNA from 1 species
CCCAGUUCAGGGAGGUAGUGACAAUAAAUACCUUACAGAGGUCUCGUUAACCGAGAUCUCUCAAACGGAAUGAGUACAACGUGAAUCCUUUAACGAGGAUCGACUGGAGGGCAAGCCUGGUGCCAGCAGCCGCGGUAAUUCCAGCUCCAGUAGCGUAUAUUAAAGCUGUUGCGGUUAAAAAGCUCGUAGUUGGAUAUCAGUGCGUGUCCGGUCCGGUAUGCCUGGCACCGUCGCUCUGCGUCGGCGCUGGGCUCCCAAAUAUCGGCUGGCCGCAUUCAAUCGUGCCGGAUCCGUCGACGGGCCGUUCUUCGGAGGGGCCUGUUGGCGACCGGCGACGUUACCUUGAACAAAUUAGAGUGCUCAAAGCAGGCUCUGUAUGCCUGUAUACAUAUUCAUGGAAUUGGAGAAUACGUCCCUGGCUCGAUUUGGUUGGUUUUGAGAGUCGAAGGGAAAUGAUUAAUAGGGACUGACGGAGGCAUUCGUAUUGCGACGCGAGGGGUGAAAUCCUGUGACCGUCGCACGACGAACUACUGCGAAAGCAUUUGCCGAGAAUGUUUUCAUUAGUCAAGAACGAAAGUUAGAGGUUCGAAGGCGAUCAGAUACCGCCCUAGUUCUAACCGUAAACGAUGUCGACCAGCAAUCCGCAACGGUCACUUUACGGACUGUGCGGGCAGCUUCCCCGGGGAAACCAGAGUUUUUGGACUCCGGGGGAAGUAUGGUUGCAAAGCUGAAACUUAAAGGAAUUGACGGAAGGGCACCACCAGGAGUGGAGCUUGCGGCUUAAUUUGACUCAACACGGGACAACUCACCAGGCCCGGACACCGUAAGGAUUGACAGACUGAUAGCUCUCUCUUGAUUCAGUGGGUGGUGGUGCAUGGCCGUUCUUAGUUGGUGGAGUGAUUUGUCUGGUUUAUUCCGAUAACGAACGAGACUCUGGCCUAUUAAACUUGACACUGUCAGUCUCUUGUGACUGCGGUGCGCUUCUUAGAGGGAUCAUCGGCGUCCCAGCCGAAGGAAAGGGAGCAAUAACAGGUCUGUGAUGCCCUUAGAUGUUCUGGGCUGCACGCGUGUUACACUGAAGUGGUCAGCGCGCCGUUCAACACCCCUCUCCGUGAGGAGCUUGGGCAAACGUUUGAACCCUUUUCGUGAUGGGAAUUGGGGGUUGCAAUUG